rnacentral:lncRNA from 1 species
CCAGAGCACGGAGCUAGCAUGCCAUUGACACUGAAGUUUUUCUUUGUGAAUGAAUCAGGCACUGACACCUGAUCUUUGGAGGUGUGGAGAGGUGAAGCACUUGGAGAUAUGCAAGCGAGACCUGAAGCUGCUUCUGCUGCUGUUGCUUUGCUUAUGUUAGGUUUCUCCUUUUCUGGAAGCAGUGACAAUUCCACGAGGACAAUUUUCAUCACAGUAAAGAGAAUGGCUGCUGAUCCAGGCCAGUAUGUGCAUCACAGGCAGAACUGAAAGACCAGCCUCAGUCAGCUGCUGUGCAGGAAGAAGACAUUGAACAUUUUUUUUAAGCCAUUCCAAUGGGUGUUGUGAAAUCAUACAGCCUUUGCCUACUAGAUAAAACCAAAAGGACUGUAAGUUCUUCAUGAGAAAGACUGAGGGAUUGUACAUACUGUAUUUCAUUGCACUUUUUGUAUUUGAUUCUUUUCAGUUGUUUUCUUUGUGUGUGUGAACAAUUGAAUUAUUGCAUCAUGAAAAAUGUUAAAGCAAACAGUAUAGAAAUAUUUUAUCUUUUUUUCUCCAAAUGAAUUUUCAGUGACAAAAAUACAAUCUAACCACUUUAGCAGUGUCUUCUGGCUUAAACAGUAGGUGGACAGCCUGUCAUUACAGGAUCACUUGGCAAAGAGUAAAGAAUGAGCAAGAUUUAAUCUCAAUUAUCUGUAACUACUAGCUCAAAGAAUAAGUAAUCUCUGUAUAUGUGGUAGUCUUGUGUUGUCCUAUAUGAUUUUUUGAGAAUUAUUUGAGCAGAAGAAUUUACCAGAACGUUGCUGUCAAGCAAGAGAGGAACACAAGUUUUACAGGAGCAAGAGAAGUGAUGAACUAACCUAGAACUAACAAGUUAUUUAACAGUAUCUGUGGCAGAAUUUUUUUUCCUUAACAUAAGGAUUUCUUAAAUUAACAAUCUACAGACUUGAAUGUAGAGUCUAAUAGUUCAUUAUUUCAACAUGUGCUAUUAUUUUUAAUAUGUGAAAGUUUAAUAGUUUUGUUUGUCAGACAGUGAGGGCUAUUGUAAAUGCAAGAUACAGCUUUUUUUCCAUCAGACGUUCUUCAUUGUGAUCCAGCAAGAUUUUUACUGUAGGCUAUUGUGAAUUCAUGAUUCCUUGUUGAGAAGAGUAGAACAAGAAAAAGUCAAACUAACUUAUCGUACUUGAAACAGUCAUUCAUUUUUAAUUGGCACUAACUGAAAGUGGUGGGAAAUAUAUUUAAUGCAAAAUAUGCACUUGAAUGUUUUAUU